rnacentral:lncRNA from 1 species
AAUUGUGCUUCACUACUUCACCUAAUCCAAUCAUCGGUGGCCAAAUGGAUUUUAAUAUAACUGGUGAGUUCCAGAUGUGGGAAUGGGAGGGAGAAUUAUGGGUCCCCCUUUCUCCCUUUAAUAAUAAUAAUAAUAAUAAUAAUUAUUAUUAUUAUUAUUAUUAUUAUUAUUAUUAUUAUUAUUAUUUUAUAUUUCACCCUUCUCCCUGUGGGAACUCAGAGCGGAUUACAGCAUAUAAACAGACACAGGCAAACAUUCGACGACUUGUUACAAUGAAAUACAAUGAGGCACAAAUACACAGACAAAGGCAAAGGCUUCUCCUUUCAUUUCCGGCUCUGGGGGUGGUGCUCAUCUCUGUCUCUGGGGGAGGUGCUCUUCUCCAUUUCCAAGCUGAGGAGCCUGCAUUGUCCGCAGAUACCUCCUGGUUGUGUGGCUGGCAUGGCUGCUUGGAGUGUCUUUUUGCCUUUUCCCACUGAAACAGUACCUAUUUAUGUACUCACGUUUGCAUGUUUUCAAACUGCUAGGUUGGCAGAAGAUAGGGUUAACAGCAGGAGCUCACCCUGUUCCAUGGAUUCGAACUGCCAACCUUCAGGUCAGCAGUUCAGCAGCACAAGGGUUUAAACCAUUGCGUCACCACGGUCCCCCAUAGUGUUGUCCAGUCCACUAAGAACAAAAGAGGCAACUGUGACCAAACCGGUUGCUUUAGAACAUUGUUCUAUUUUCAGAGCAUUGUUUAAUCCACUUAAAAGCAAGAUAGCAUGUCCAAAAUAUGGGUGAAGCCAAUCUCCAGACAAGGCAAGAAAAUCAUCACAUUCAGUACAGUGGCACCAGCUUGUGGCUAUGAAUUUCUACAUUGCUUGCAUUGCACAUACAGAGGUGCUUAGAAAGUCUUCCACCCAAGAGCAGAUGAAGCUAGAUGUGUUAAGUUUCAACAGACCCAUUCUAUCCUCAGUGUUCAGGUACUGCCCUCUUCUUUCUUCUGUACACAUUUUUGACUGUUCAUUCUAUUUUUCUUCCUCAGAGUUUUGCAAGACAAUAGUUGGGGCUACAUAUGCAAACUACUAUUAUCCAGAUACAACAACAGACAGCUUGCGCUGUGUGAGUAACUGCACCAAGGGCAGUGCGUAUGCUAUCAAUUGCUACCAUGGGGUUUGCCGCAUCUCUGACAAAGGCCCCAACUGCAACUGUAAUGACCGGAAUACCUUUUGGUAUGUAGACAAUAACUGCCAGACGCGUUUCCAGAAGAGUGAGGUGGGUCUUGGUAUUGGGAUGGCUGUCCUCUUCCUGAUUGCUAUCAUCUUGGCUGUCUUCCUCUUCAGAACCUAUCGGAGAAAGUCUGAGUCUAGAUACUCUGAUGGAGAUAACCUCAUUUAUGAAGACACUAAAGAGGAAGAAUGGCUACCCCCGUGGACCCUGAACUUCACAAAUGAGGCAGCUGACUUCCACAAUGGUGGGGACCCAUUUUGCCAUGAGCAAAGUGCCAGGCAGCCUGUGGGAUAUUACAAGGAGCAACUAAUUAUGAUGUCAUGA